rnacentral:snRNA from 1 species
AGCACUAAUGCACCGGAUCC